UUAAAGUGUUUGAUUUUGGUGAAGGGAUUGAUUGGAAUAGAAUUCACUUUAUCAUGAUGAGAGAAUGUAGAAGGCUUGAUGAUGGAUUACCAAUUUAUGGUUUUAGGCAGCAGAUUCUUCAACAAAUUCUUUCUCAUCAGGUGACUGUUUUGGUUGGGGAGACUGGAUCAGGAAAGAGUACACAAUUAGUGCAAUUCCUUGCUGAUUCAGGAAUAGCUGGCGAUGGUUCUAUAGUUUGUACUCAGCCUCGAAAACUUGCUGCCAACUCUUUAGCAAGUAGGGUUAGAGAGGAAAGCCAGGGGUGCUAUGAUGAUUGUUCGAUCUCCUGUAAUCCACCACAUUCAUCCGAUCAGCAGUUGGAUUCAAAGGUGAUUUUUAUGACAGAUCACUGCCUAUUACAGCACUAUAUGGGCGACAAGAAUUUGUCCAACAUUUCAUGCAUCAUAGUCG
rnacentral:misc_RNA from 1 species